rnacentral:rRNA from 1 species
UACAUGGGGUGCAAGCGUUGCUCGGAAUUAUUGGGCGUAAAGCGCGCGUAGGCGGUUACGUAUGUCGGAUGUGAAAGCCCUCGGCUUAACUGAGGAAGUGCAUUCGAAACUGGGUAGCUAGAGUACUAAAGAGGGUCGCGGAAUUCCCGGUGUAGAGGUGAAAUUCGUAGAUAUCGGGAGGAACACCGGUGGCGAAGGCGGCGACCUGGGUAGCUACUGACGCUGAGGCGCGAAAGCGUGGGGAGCAAACAGG